rnacentral:rRNA from 1 species
GACGAACGCUGGCGGCGUGCUUAACACAUGCAAGUCGAACGGAAAGGCCCUGCCUUUGUGGGGUGCUCGAGUGGCGAACGGGUGAGUAACACGUGAGUAACCUGCCCUGGACUUUGGGAUAACUUCAGGAAACUGGGGCUAAUACCGGAUAGGAGCUCCUGCUGCAUGGUGGGGGUUGGAAAGUUUCGGCGGUGGGGGAUGGGCUCGCGGCUUAUCAGCUUGUUGGUGGGGUAGUGGCUUACCAAGGCGUUGACGGGUAGCCGGCCUGAGAGGGUGUACGGCCACAUUGGGACUGAGAUACGGCCCAGACUCCUACGGGAGGCAGCAGUGGGGAAUAUUGCACAAUGGGCGGAAGCCUGAUGCAGCGACGCCGCGUGCGGGAUGACGGCCUUCGGGUUGUAAACCGCUUUCGCCUGUGACGAAGCGUGAGUGACGGUAAUGGGUAAAGAAGCACCGGCUAACUACGUG